rnacentral:tRNA from 2 species
GCCUCUAUAGUUCAAUGGAUAGAACGGUGGAUUCCUAAUCCGCAAAUGCAGGUUCGAUUCCUGCUAGGGGCACCA